GGGGAUGUAGCUCCGGGGCAGAGCACGUGCCUAGCAAGCAUGAGGUCCUGGGUUCAAUCCCCAACAACUCCA
rnacentral:tRNA from 1 species